CCUGUCAAGUCACUUUCCAGCAGAAAUACUGAGCAGCGUGGCUUCCUGUUCACCCAUGUAUUCCCUGCCUUCUCAACGCCCACAACCUUCAGGUCUUGACAGGGAUAGUUUGUUUGCAUCCAGCACUGCUGCCAUCAGCUUCAGGGUGCAAACUCAUGGCAUCUUCAGAGUUAAGCCACUGCACAAAUUCCUGCAUCUGUUUCCCAACGUCCUGGGGGUGAGGGGGUAUGUGAUGCCCUACAAACACCUGCGUAGUCCUGAACCGCCCCGCCUCCACGGGGUCAGCAUAGCCCAGCACUCUCCGGUGUAUCUCCAGGAUGUCAGUGAUGGUAACAGAGCCUAUUCGGGAUACCAGCGUGGUAUUGACGUAUUUCAAAGCUGCAUGCAUGCCAAUCACCUCAUUCUGCUCCACUAAACUUUUUCCAGGAACAGCGUAUCUGGUCUCGAUGAUGUGUCGAAUUUCUGACAGCGUCAGAGUGUUCCCUUCAAUAGCAACCGUGUGGUAGAUGUGGUGAUAGUAGGACUCCUCCAUCACUCGGCGCAGGGCGGAAUUGCCUUUGGGGAUCGCCAUCACUUUUUUAACCUUGCUGUCAAUAAUGCUAAAAUACCUCUGAUCGAUUUCUUCAACUAAAGGCAACGUCCGGUCCCGAUUGAUCAAAGCCUUCUCGUUGCAGGGAGAAAGGGUUAGUGCUUUGGAGUACAAAUAGUCUGCUUGAAGAAUGUCUUUUUCCUCUUCAGAAAAAAUGCCAAAUUCAUUCAGGGCAUCCACGUAAUCAGGGUCCAUUUUGAGGGCAUACACAAAGAGUUUGUGUGCUUUUUCUCGCUUUCCUUGGCGCUUCAUUUCCAGGGCUUGGUUCAGAGCUG
rnacentral:lncRNA from 1 species